rfam:Thermincola sp. JR, complete genome.
UGAGUAAAUCAGAUGAUCGCGGGUAUAAAUUCAUGUUUAUACCUGAGGAAAGUCCGAGCUCCACAGGGCAGGGUGCUGGGUAAUACCCAGUGGGGGCGACCCCAAGGAAAGUGCCACAGAAACAAACCGCCUCCUACUGGAGGUUGGAGGUUACUUCUAACCUCUAGUAUGGGGUAAGGGUGGAACGGUGAGGUAAGAGCUCACCAGCGGUUAGGCGACUAACCGGCUAGGUAAACCCCACCUGGAGCAAGACCAAAUAGGGGAACAAUGGAGCGGCCCGUUCCGUUCCCGGGUAAGGUCGCUAGAGGCGGCAGGUAACUGUCGUCCCAGAUAGAUGAUCAUCCACGACAGAACUCGGCUUAUCGAUUUACUCGGUUU